CAAUAGCGUAUAUUAAAGUUGUUGCAGUUAAAAAGCUCGUAGUUGGAUUUCUGAUCGAGACAUCAGGUCGGGUCCGAGAGGAUCAUGUACUUUGAUUUUGUUUUGAUCAUCCUUGGGGAGAGCGUUUCUGGCAUUCAGUUGUCGGGAUUGGGAUCCUCAUCGUUUACUGUGAAAAAAUUAGAGUGUUCAAAGCAGGCCUCGGCCUCUGAAUACAUUAGCAUGGAAUAAUAAGAUAGGACUUUGGUGGUCUAUUUUGUUGGUUUGCACGCCAAAGUAAUGAUUAAUAGGGAUAGUUGGGGGUAUUCGUAUUCAAUUGUCAGAGGUGAAAUUCUUGGAUUUAUGGAAGACGAACUACUGCGAAAGCAUUUACCAAGGAUGUUUUCAUUAA
rnacentral:rRNA from 1 species